GAGUUUGAUCCUGGCUCAGAAUCAACGCUGGCGGCGCGCUUAACACAUGCAAGUCGAACGAGAAAGCCGGGGCAAUCUGGUGAGUAAAGUGGCGUACGGGUGAGUAACACGUGGAUCAUCUACCCUGGAGUGGGGAAUAACGCUGGGAAACCGGCGCUAAUACCGCAUAAUCCCGAGAGGGCAAAGGAGCAAUUCGCUUCAGGAGGAGUCCGCGGCCGAUUAGCUAGUUGGCAGGGUAAAAGCCUACCAAGGCAACGAUCGGUAGCCGGCCUGAGAGGGCACACGGCCACACUGGCACUGAAACACGGGCCAGACUCCUACGGGAGGCAGCAGUGGGGAAUCUUGCACAAUGGGGGCAACCCUGAUGCAGCGACGCCGCGUGAGCGAUGAAGCCCUUCGGGGUGUAAAGCUCUUUCGGCAGGGAAGAUUAUGACGGUACCUGCAGAAGCAGCUGCGGCUAACUACGUGCCAGCAGCCGCGGUAAUACGUAGGCAGCAAGCGUUGUUCGGAGUUACUGGGCGUAAAGGGUGUGUAGGCGGCCUUCUAAGUUUGGUGUGAAAUCUCCCGGCUCAACCGGGAGGGUGCGCCGAAGACUGGGGGGCUAGAGUAUGGGAUGGGAGAGUAGAAUUUCCGGUGUAGCGGUGAAAUGCGUAGAUAUCGGAAGGAAUACCUGUGGUGUAGACGGCUCUCUGGACCAUAACUGACGCUGAGACACGAAAGCGUGGGUAGCAAACAGGAUUAGAUACCCUGGUAGUCCACGCCCUAAACGAUGCAUAUUUGGUGUGGGCCAUUCAUUUGGUCCGUGCCGGAGCUAACGCGUUAAAUAUGCCGCCUGGGGAGUACAGUCNCAAGGCUGAAACUCAAAGAAAUUGACGGGGGCCCGCACAAGCGGUGGANCAUGUGGUUCAUUCNACGCACNCGAANANCUUACUGGGCUCGAAUGCUAAAACAUCUUUGUACAAAACUNCCNCAGGGANUGANUNAGUGCUGCAUGCUUUCCUCACUCUGUCUGAAUNUGGGUAAUCCCCACACCACCUNUCUNUUCCUACNAAGUGACCCAGAACCCGGAACUGANAGGGGAAAC
rnacentral:rRNA from 1 species